AGCGAAAUUCCUUGUGAAUUUCGUAGGCUUGUCGACGC
rnacentral:sRNA from 1 species